GUUUCGGUAGUGUAGUGGUUAUCACGUUUGCCUCACAUGCGAAAGUUCCCAGGUUACGAAAACCGGCAGAAACA
rnacentral:tRNA from 1 species